GGCCAAUUUCAAUUUAAUAAUUGAAUUUAAUAGUGGAAUGUGGAAUUGUCUCCAAGUCUCCUCAAGUCCUCAAUUAGUGUCUUUGCGUUAAGUGCAGUCUUUGAUUAGCUUUAAUUGAGUGGUACAAUAUUAAUAUUUGUGUUCAGUUUCAAUAUCAGCCGUUUCAGUUUCGUUUCAGUGUUUGUCUGGUACCACCAUUAGUACAAGCAAUAAACUUCGUUGUGUAUCAUUGUCAGUGGCAAUGAGGGGUUAUAAACAAAAUCAUAACCUCUCUUAGAUGUUAUGAUGUUAUGCUAGUGAUUUUUAGUACCGGUAACUAAAACUAAAACACUGUCGUGGAUAAAGUAACUUAAGAAGUGUAAGCAACUGAUACUGGUAUUGUUAUAAUUAACUUAAGUUAUUAAUUGUAAAGUCGUUAUUAUGAGUGAACAAGAAAGGACUCUUUCAGAAUUUUUCAAAUAUUUUUUUGCGACUCUGUGUUCCUGGAAGUCAAUAAUGGAACAAAUUAGUUUAUUUUUGAGCCCUAUAUUUAGGCAAUGUGAACAGUUGAGGUUAUGUGAAAGAGUACAACUGGAUGAAAAGUUUCUUCAGAAAUUCCCCUGUGUCAAAACAAAACUGUUAGGAAAGAUUCGAUUGGGUAUAGAAGAAGAAAUCAGCUCCGUUUCUAAACUUGAAGAAGAAAUGAAGAGUCACGUUGAUGGUUUGAAAACCAGACUCACAUCAGUGGAGAAAGCCUUUUUAAAGUCUAAGAACGAGGAGUCGUCAGAUAUCAAUCCGUUGAUACCAUCAUUUGAUGACCUCUUUGAACAUGCGUCAGAUAUUUGGAAGUGUUUUCACAUUCUAUGGAUGGGCCUGAAGACAUCAAUAGAAACUGUUAAUUAUUCAAGUAAAAGUUCUGUUAACAAAAUAUCUGAAUCUCUGCAGAAAUUUGAAAAGUUUGAACACCAUUUCAAUUAUAUUGCGGAUUUGACCCAGUACUUGAGGACAUGACAUAUUUUCAUCUUAUCAGCCGAGAAUAUUCUAUACACCUUGAUAUUGUCGGAAAAAAGAUGGAUAUUAUGCUGAUAAAGGCAACUCCCAUGUUUUCUAUAUUGGUAUCUUUCGUCUGUAUUCUCUCCACGUUGUUUGCUUACAACAAAUAUUUUGAGCAUAAAGAGUAUGGACCUCAUCCUCUUGAUGGAUCUGUCAACAUCACUUCAACUCAAACUACCGUCCAGACCUUACUCAACACUACUAAUUGACUAAAUUUAAGCCGUUAUGGUUAGGUGUUAUAAAAUAUUAAAAAGUUAUUUUGAG